UCCCGGUUGAUCCUGCCAGAGGUCACUGCUAUCGGGGUUCGAUUAAGCCAUGCGAGUCGAGGGGUUCGGCCCUCGGCGUACUGCUCAGUAACACGUGGAUAACCUGCCCUAGGGAAGGGGAUAACCCCGGGAAACUGGGGAUAAUACCCUAUAGAUUACAGAUGCUGGAAUGCCCUGUAAUCCAAAGUUCCACGCCCUAGGAUGGAUCUGCGGCCGAUUAGGUUGUUGUUGGGGUAAUGGCCCAACAAGCCCGUAAUCGGACGGGUUGUGGGAGCAAGAGCCCGUAGUUGGAUUCUGAGACACGAAU
rnacentral:rRNA from 1 species